rnacentral:snRNA from 1 species
GUGCUCACUUCGGCAGCACAUACGCCACAGUUGGAACGACAUAGAGAUUAGCAUGACCUCUGUGCACGGAUGACACGCAAAUUCAUGAAACGUCCCGUAUUAUG